rnacentral:rRNA from 1 species
GAUGAACGCUGGCGGCGUGCUUACCACUUGCAAGUCAAACGAACCUUCGGGUUAGGGGCGGACGGGUGAGUAACGCGGGAAAAUCUGCCCUCAGGAGGGGGAUAACGGCUGGAAACGGCCGCUAAUACCCCAUAUGCCGCGAGGUGAAAUGAAUUUCGCCGGAGGAUGAGCUCGCGUCUGAUUAUCUAGUUGGGGGGGUAAAAGCCUACCAAGGCAUCGAUCAGUAGCUGGUCUGAAAGGAUGAUCAGCCACACUGGGACUGAGACACGGCCCAAACUCCUACGGGAGGCAGCAGUGGGGAAUUUUCCGCAAUGGGCGAAAGCCUGACGAAGCACCGCCGCGGGAGGGAUGAAGGCCUCUGGGCUGUAAACCUCUUUUAUCAAGGAAAAAAAUCUGACGGUACUUGAUGAAUAACCCACGGCUAAUUCCGGGCCAC